rnacentral:rRNA from 1 species
ACACGGUCCAGACUCCUACGGGAGGCAGCAGUGGGGAAUAUUGGACAAUGGGCGAAAGCCUGAUCCAGCCAUGCCGCGUGUGUGAAGAAGGUCUUCGGAUUGUAAAGCACUUUAAGUUGGGAGGAAGGGUUGUAGAUUAAUACUCUGCAAUCUUGACGUUACCGACAGAAUAAGCACCGGCUAACUCUGUGCCAGCAGCCGCGGUAAUACAGAGGGUGCAAGCGUUAAUCGGAAUUACUGGGCGUAAAGCGCGCGUAGGUGGUUUGUUAAGUUGGAUGUGAAAGCCCCGGGCUCAACCUGGGAACUGCAUUCAAAACUGACAAGCUAGAGUAUGGUAGAGGGUGGUGGAAUUUCCUGUGUAGCGGUGAAAUGCGUAGAUAUAGGAAGGAACACCAGUGGCGAAGGCGACCACCUGGACUGAUACUGACACCGANGUGCGAAAGCGUGGGGAGCAAACAGGAUUAGAUACCCUGGUAGUCCACGCCGUAAACGA